rnacentral:rRNA from 1 species
CUGGGCACUGAAACACGGGCCAGACUCCUACGGGAGGCAGCAGUGGGGAAUCUUGCACAAUGGGGGAAACCCUGAUGCAGCGACGCCGCGUGAGCGAUGAAGCCCUUCGGGGUGUAAAGCUCUUUCGGCAGGAACGAUAAUGACGGUACCUGCAGAAGAAGCUGCGGCUAACUACGUGCCAGCAGCCGCGGUAAUACGUAGGCAGCGAGCGUUGUUCGGAAUUACUGGGCGUAAAGAGUGUGUAGGUGGUGUCGUAAGUUUGGUGUGAAAUCUCCCGGCUCAACUGGGAGGGUGCGCCGAAGACUGCGAUGCUGGAGUAUGGGGGAGGAAAGCGGAAUUCCUGGUGUAGCGGUGAAAUGCGUAGAUAUCAGGAGGAACACCUGCGGUGUAGACGGCUUUCUGGACCAUUACUGACACUGAGACACGAAAGCGUGGGUAGCAAACAGGAUUAGAUACCCUGGUAGUCCACGCCCUAAACGAUGCAUACUUGGUGUGAGCCAUUCAGUUGGUUCGUGCCGGAGCUAACGCGUUAAGUAUGCCGCCUGGGGAGUACGGUCGCAAGGCUGAAACUCAAAGAAAUUGACGGGGGCCCGCACAAGCGGUGGAGCAUGUGGUUCAAUUCGACGCAACGCGAAGAACCUUACCUGGGCUCGAACGGCUUUUCAACGUUCAUAGAAAUAUGGAUAUCCCGCAAGGGAGUAGAGUCGAGGUGCUGCAUGGCUGUCGUCAGCUCGUGUCGUGAGAUGUUGGGUUAAGUCCCGCAACGAGCGCAACCCUUGCCCUGUUUUGCCAUCAUUAAGUUGGGAACUAUCAGGGGACCGCCAGCGAUAAGUUGGAGGAAGGUGGGGAUGACGUCAAGUCAUCAUGGCCUUUAUGUCCAGGGCUACACACGUGCUACAAUGGACGGUACAAAGCGCUGCGAAGCCGCGAGGUGGAGCUAAUCGCAAAAAACCGUUCUCAGUUCGGAUCGCAGGCUGCAACUCGCCUGCGUGAAGCUGGAAUCGCUAGUAAUGGCAGAUCAGCAUGCUGCCGUGAAUACGUUCCCGGGCCUUGUACACACCGCCCGUCACAUCACGAAAGUGGGUUGUACUAGAAGUCUGUGCGCUAACCAGCAAUGGAGGCCACGGCCCAAGGUAUGACUCAUGAUUGGGGUGAAGUCGUAACAAGGUAGCCGUAGGAGAACCUGCGGCUG